rnacentral:lncRNA from 1 species
AAAAAGGAGAACAGGAGGGAAGGGUUUCAGCUGCUCUACCUUGGAGGAGGCUUGCCUGAGCCCUGCAAGCUCUUGUAAGCACUGACUAAUACAAAAUUGGUACUGAGAGUGAGGUCAUUGCUGUGACAUUGCCUCACCAUGUGGCUCAAAGGACUUUGGAAUAGGUUCAAGGCAGGAGUUUGGAAAGGUUUUGAGAAGCCAGUUGAAGAGGCAGCCCUAGAAUGCUUUAAACUGUAUUAUAUGAGGGCCUGGUGAGAGCUUGGAAAACCAGAGUACUGAUGGAAAUGCUGCCAGUAAUGGCUUAUCAACGGAGCAGUUCACAACAUGAUAUUUGCCUUCUAUCAGAAGCACAUGGGAAUGCAAAAGAGAAUAACACAAGGUGGCCAUAGCACUGAUACUUCGAAGUUGUCAAAGGUGCUGUAAGCCUGGAUCACUAAAUAGCCUUAUGAUACCUCCACUCCCUCCCCUUUAACCUCUAAG